CCUACGGGAGGCAGCAGUGAGGAAUAUUGGUCAAUGGACGAGAGUCUGAACCAGCCAAGCAGCGUGAAGGAUGACUGUCCUAAGGGUUGUAAACUUCUUUUAUAUGGGAAUAAAAUGUUCCACGUGUGGGAUUUUGUAUGUACCAUAUGAAUAAGCAUCGGCUAACUCCGUGCCAGCAGCCGCGGUAAUACGGAGGAUCCGAGCGUUAUCCGGAUUUAUUGGGUUUAAAGGGAGCGUAGGCGGAUUGUUAAGUCAGUUGUGAAAGUUUGCGGCUCAACCGUAAAAUUGCAGUUGAUACUGGUAGCCUUGAGUUCAGGUGAGGUAGGCGGAAUGCGUGGUGUAGCGGUGAAAUGCUUAGAUAUCGCGAAGAACUCCGAUUGCGAAGGCAGCUUACUAAACUGCCACUGACAUUGAUGCUCGAAAGUGUGGGUAUCGAACAGGAUUAGAUACCCUGGUAGUC
rnacentral:rRNA from 1 species